UGGGGAAUAUUGGACAAUGGGCGCAAGCCUGAUCCAGCAAUGCCGCGUGUGUGAAGAAGGCCUUCGGGUUGUAAAGCACUUUCAGUAGGGAGGAAGGGUUUAAUGCUAAUACCAUUGAACAUUGACGUUACCUAAAGAAGAAGCACCGGCUAACUCUGUGCCAGCAGCCGCGGUAAUACAGAGGGUGCUAGCGUUAAUCGGAAUUACUGGGCGUAAAGCGUGUGUAGGUGGUUGGAUAAGUUAGAUGUGAAAUCCCCGGGCUUAACCUGGGAAUUGCGUUUAAGACUGUUCAGCUAGAGUACUGUAGAGGAUAGUGGAAUUUCCAGUGUAGCGGUGAAAUGCGUAGAUAUUGGAAGGAACACCAGUGGCGAAGGCGACUAUCUGGAUAGAUACUGACACU
rnacentral:rRNA from 1 species